rnacentral:lncRNA from 1 species
UUCCCAUCCCCCAUCUUCCGACCAGACUGUCAUCUCCUCAAAUCGAUUCCCGCCACUGCCUCACUAAUUAAUCACGGAUGAGCUACCGACGAUCCACCACUUCACCACCAGAAAAUCAUCAUCGAUGCUCGAUUCCUUGACGCUAAACUUGUCAUCGCUUCAAUCCUCACUACAGCCCUCGACAGGUAUUUUUUUCCUUCAUCAACCUGUCUUCAAUCACAUUUAGGGUUUCUGUGAAAAUAUUUGAUUUGGUUUUGGGGCAGAGGCGUUGUGUUCGAAUGGGUAUAUUUCAUGUUAGGGUUUCAUUACUCAUGCUUCUGAAUCAUGGUUAUAUAUUUUUAGAGAAUAUUCAGUAGUAUUCUAGUUGGAGCACAAGUUAGGUUUGCAUUUUACAGUGAAAAUCCCAACUUGUUAUAUCUUCAAAGGGGUGUUUGGAUAUGCGCUAUAGAAGUUAUUAUGUUGUUAGAUUUAGUAUGACUCUAAUCAGGGCCGGCUCUUCUUCCUUGAAGAACAAGUUGAUUUUUUUGAUUUUGGACUUAAUGGUAUUAACAACUUAUUGGUUCAUGCGUCCAAAAUCAAUCCUUCAUUUUCUAAUUGUUAUUGUUGUAAAUGUAAAUUGUUAAAUGUGUUGGCUAGUAUGUGAUCUGAAUAUAGUUUAACUUUCUUUCUUUCUUUCUUGAGUAUGUGUUGCCUUAAUUUACUAAUGAUGACUGACGAAUCAAUGGUUUCAUUUCAAAAUUUUCAGUCCAUCUCCAGAUCUCGUGUAGUUAAAAGAUAAGUUUUCUCAUAUGCCUAAUUUCUGUUUGUUUAUAAAACACCGACUAGGAAUGGAGUUGCUAGUAUUGAAAUCCUAAAGUGGACAUGACUAGACGGGUCAUGAUCGUGGGUUCAACCCGAACCCGAUAAUCGUAUCAUACAUAUGAACCCGAACACGAUCCGAAGUUUCGUGGGUAACCCGAACAAGACCCGUUAAACCCGAAAUCUUUUAAUUUUUGUCUGAAAUUAAUAUAUUAAAAUUAGAAUUUACUUAAAAACACAAAUGCUCGAAAAUCGAAAUGCCCAAUUAACUUCAAUAUGCCUUCAGCAACAUAUCUUGAAAAAACUCAGUCUUGAUUGAAAACUUAUUCCUUAUUAGUUAUAAAUUAAUCAAAUGCUACAUAAGUUCCUUACUUAAGAACUUCUUAGUGAUUUGGUGGUCUAUCAGUAACUUGCUAAAGUUACUCAUUGGAUGUUUAAAUGUCAAAUAGAAACCAAAUGUAUGAAUUAGGUUUAUAACAAUAAAAGUUUGGAACGGGCCCCAAAGUUUAACUUCAUUUUGGGGCUCCAAAAUGGUUGAGCCACCCCUGAUUUUAAUGAAUUACAAUUGAUUAUCUUGAUCGUGAUUAUUAGUGUUGCAUAAUGAGUUUAAAGCACACAACCAAACACCUUCUAUAUUUCAUCAACUUUUGUCCAAAAUUCAAUCUUUGCUGACAUAUUGUUGGGGGAUCAAUGGAAGUUCUGAUAAGAUGUUUUUAUAGACUGAAAACCGCAACAAGGUAAAUCAUUAUUUAUGAACUCUUGUUUCUUUUAAUUUCAUUGAUAAAUUUGUCGACUGUUGUUUUCAAGGGGGUCAUCUUUUGCUGAAAUAUUAUUAUAUGUUUAAACUUUGGGGCAACCACAGGUCUCAUUGACCUGUUUCUUAAAAGUUGUUAUCUACAUAAGGUUGGUUUAGUCAUAUUUGAUACCUUUCAGAGGUUAAUAAUUAAAUUUAGUGUAAUUUAUGUUUUAAUACUUAUCUGUGUAACGGUAUUAUUAUUUAGAUUAUCAUAUUUUGAUAGGGAAUAAACAAAUUAUCAAAAGGUUUUAGCUAGAUUGGAUUACGAAAGAGAAUAAGGAAGAACAAGUGAAUAGAUUUUAUUGCAGUGGAAUUAUAAUAGUACUGAAAGGAAAUUACAAAUAACCAGGGUUACACCCUCUCUCCAGGAGCCACUAAGUCAUAAAAAAUCUAAGAGCAUUAUUCCCUACUACUUAUACUCUCUCACCUCUAACAAACUCUCAAUCACAUUUAGAAAGUACCCCUUUACCCCUUCUAGAAAUAACUCUGGCUUUGCUUUAGAAAUAGUUACGGUAUCAACCGUAUUAGAUUAAUUACAUACUCGAUCAAUGGUUGUACUUACCUAAACUUUACGUGUAAUGACUUUGUGCAUCUAAAGGUGAGGUGGGUGCUAAUUACUUCUUUUUUAAAUUAUUUACCUUUAUAAACUUCCAGAAAAAUGCAGGUAAUCUUUGUUUCUAUUUGUUAAUUUUUGUCGCAGGUGGAUUUCUUCAUGUCAAGCAAUAUUAUUUUUUUUUUCUCACUUGUUAUCUACUUGCUAAGAAAGGGGUCUAUAAAAACUUGUUAUCCUUUAGUAAGGGUAGAUAUCAUGCAGCAACUUUGAGCUAAGUUUUUUGAAGUUCUCACCCAAAAGAACAUGUAGACUCCUCAUGUAAAUAGUUAGAAUUUGGAAUUUGUUACUUAUUACACAAUGUUUUGCUAACAUUUGCAAUAUGUUUCGGAUCAAACUUAUUAUUGAAGUUAUAAUAUUAUGCUUUCUACCUUUA